rnacentral:rRNA from 1 species
UACGUAGGGUGCAAGCGUUGUCCGGAAUUAUUGGGCGUAAAGAGCUCGUAGGCGGUCUGUCGCGUCGGAUGUGAAAAUCCAGGGCUUAACCCUGGGCCUGCAUUCGAUACGGGCAAACUAGAGUUCGGUAGGGGAGACUGGAAUUCCUGGUGUAGCGGUGAAAUGCGCAGAUAUCAGGAGGAACACCGGUGGCGAAGGCGGGUCUCUAGGCCGACACUGACGCUGAGGAGCGAAAGCGUGGGGAGCGAACAGG